CCCAGACUCCUACGGGAGGCAGCAGUGAGGAAUAUUGGUCAAUGGGCUUACGCCUGAACCAGCCAAGUCGCGUGAGGGAAGACGGCCCUACGGGUUGUAAACCUCUUUUGUCGGGGAGCAAAGCGAACCACGUGUGGUUCAUUGAGAGUACCCGAAGAAAAAGCAUCGGCUAACUCCGUGCCAGCAGCCGCGGUAAUACGGAGGAUGCGAGCGUUAUCCGGAUUUAUUGGGUUUAAAGGGUGCGUAGGCGGGCUGUUAAGUCAGCGGUCAAAUGUCGGGGCUCAACCCCGGCCUGCCGUUGAAACUGGCGGCCUCGAGUGGGCGAGAAGUAUGCGGAAUGCGUGGUGUAGCGGUGAAAUGCAUAGAUAUCACGCAGAACUCCGAUUGCGAAGGCAGCAUACCGGCGCCCGACUGACGCUGAGGCACGAAAGCGUGGGUAUCGAACAGGAUUAGAUACCCUAGUA
rnacentral:rRNA from 1 species